rnacentral:tRNA from 1 species
GCUGGGGUGGCGAAAUCGGUAAACGCAGCGGACUUAAAAUCCGCCGGGGCGAAAACCCCGUACGGGUUCGAGUCCCGUCCCCAGCA